GACGAACGCUGGCGGCGUGCUUAACACAUGCAAGUCGAACGGAAAGGCCCUGCUUUUGUGGGGUGCUCGAGUGGCGAACGGGUGAGUAACACGUGAGUAACCUGCCCUUGACUUUGGGAUAACUUCAGGAAACUGGAGCUAAUACAGGAUAGGAGCUCCUGCUGCAUGGUGGGGGUUGGAAAGUUUCGGCGGUUGGGGAUGGACUCGCGGCUUAUCAGCUUGUUGGUGGGGUAGUGGCUUACCAAGGCUUUGACGGGUAGCCGGCCUGAGAGGGUGACCGGCCACAUUGGGACUGAGAUACGGACCAGACUCCUACGGGAGGCAGCAGCGGGGAAUAUUGCACAAUGGGCGGAAGCCUGAUGCAGCAACGCCGCGUGCGGGAUGACGGCCUUCGGGUUGUAAACCGCUUUCGCCUGUGACGAAGCGUGAGUGACGGUAAUGGGUAAAGAAGCACCGGCUAACUACGUG
rnacentral:rRNA from 1 species